rnacentral:tRNA from 2 species
GGCCGACUGGCGCAAUGGUAGCGCGUCAGACUUCUACUGAUAUACAGUGAUCUGAAGGCUGCGGGUUCGAGACCCGCGUUGGUCA